rnacentral:tRNA from 1 species
CGGAAAGAGAGGGAUUCGAACCCCUCGGUA